rnacentral:rRNA from 1 species
UGGGGAAUUUUCCGCAAUGGGCGAAAGCCUGACGGAGCAAUACCGCGUGCGGGAGGAAGGCCUUAGGGUUGUAAAACUCUUUCACCGGUGAAGAUAAUGACGGUAGCCGGAGAAGAAGCCCCGGCCAACUCCGUGCCAGCAGCCGCGGUAAUACGGAGGGGGCUAGCGUUGUUCGGAAUUACUGGGCGUAAAGCGCGCGUAGGCGGGCUGGUCAGUUGGGGGUGAAAUCCCGGGGCUUAACCUCGGAACUGCCCUCAAUACUACCAGUCUAGAGUUCGAGAGAGGUAAGUGGAAUUCCUAGUGUAGAGGUGAAAUUCGUAGAUAUUAGGAAGAACACCAGUGGCGAAGGCGGCUUACUGGCUCGAUACUGACGCUGAGGCGCGAAAGCGUGGGGAGCAAACAGGAUUAGAUACCCGUGUAGUCC